rnacentral:lncRNA from 1 species
ACGAAGUUUAAUCCCUUUGUGACUUUUGACUGAAGCAAGAACCACAAAAUGGCAUUUCAAGGCACCUUUCCACAUUCGCAGGAAGAUUACGUCUUCCUCUCUUUCCAAAGAGCUGACACAGAAGUACAGUGUUUGAUCCAUGCUCAUCUGAAAGGAUGAUGAAGUUCAGGCUGUGUGAGGACACUAUAAAUGUCAGCAAACUGGCAAAACAGUCAAGGUUUACAGGAAGAAAUGUGUCAUCUACACUGAGCAGGUGCAGUGGGAAAAGGCUAAUGGCACAACUGUCCACAUGGGCAUUCACUCCAGCUGUUACUUCUAGGCUGAAAGUGAACAGAGACCAAAGAAAGAUCCUUGGACAGAAAGCCAAAUCUCAUCAAGCAGGCAAGAGAAAGGGCAAACACAAGGAAGAAACAAUUGAAAAGAUGCAGACAUAA